UCUCGCGUAUGCGGCGGCGGGGAGCGCCACCGUCGAGUCAAGUGCGUGGACAAAGUGACGCAGAAAGAGGUUCCCCAGAAGUCCUGCUACCUCCACACGCAGCACCUGAAGCCCCCAGAAAAGUCCACGUGCAACGUCGACCCGUGCGUGCCGUGGCAAACAUCGGAGUGGUCAAGGUGUUCAGUGAGGUGCGGACCGGGCACGCGACAGCGCGAAGUGAGCUGUCCGCUGCGCGACCGGUGCGACCCGGCGCGAAGACCUUCCAACUCGAGCGCCUGCAACCGUGGGCCAUGCCACGACUCAACGCCCGGUUCUUCGACGCGGCUAGUACCGUAGAGAACGACGGCGGACCGACUCCGUGCCGGGAUGUUUCGAUGCCCCGUUUGUCCCACCUAGCCCUCGGGCAUUUGCCGGGUGCCCACCACGGGCCGCUGCGUUGCCGUCGCCGCCGCCUCCACCCGUGUGAUUUCGUGUUUUUUUUUUUUGUUUUUUGUUUUUUAUGAUUCAACAUGCAGUCGGAUUGUUGUGGAAGGCCGCCCGCGCCCGCCGUUGGUACCAAGAGCCAGUGCGUUAGCACCAGUUAACACCAGAUGCAUAUACUGUGGCGUGUCUCUCUAUCUCUCUUUCCGGAAGUAGCACACCAAUUUCCCUGUGCACGUGUCUUUUAAGUGCUACACAUUAUACCACCCAAGUGUGUGCAUCUCAAUUCGGAACGAGCGAGCGAGUUGCGGCGAGUUUCCAAGAGGUCGUGGACCCUUGCAAGUGCGGUGACCGAUUCUUCAUUCAGCCUCUCCCCUUAUUUCUUUUAUCCUUUAGAUAAUAUAAGAAGCGUCACAAACGCA
rnacentral:lncRNA from 1 species